CGUCUAAUGUAUGGUGGUACUCUGAGUAAUCGGAGAGGAAAGUCCUGACACCAUAAAAAGGUUAGCAUCUAACGGAUGUUGAAUGAAAUAAAUGAAAGUGCCACAGAAACGUAAACUACUACGCACUACUGCGUAGGAAAGAUGCAACGUGAAGAUUCUUACUUUGUAGGAUACUUCUUCUCAGUUCACCUGAUGGGUGUUCGAGUGGUAAACCAUAACCGGUGCAAGCUUGUUCUCUAGUAAUAGAGGAGAGUGCAGAUCUUAGCUAUAAGCUGAGUUAGAUAUAUUCCACCUUUAUACAGAAUCAGGCUUAUUCAUUAGAUGUAAA
rnacentral:RNase_P_RNA from 1 species